ACCUACUACCUGCUUCACCACACGAACCAUGACAUCGCUCUACAGUCUCCAUCAUCCAAACCUUUUGCAGGGAAAACAGGAUUGGAAACUUCUCAGUGAACAACAAGAACAGGAGAUCUGUAAUGCCAUCACCUUGAGACAGAUUCGCACUGCAAUCCUACAAGACAAUGCCAUAUUCCAAAAUGUCAACUCUAUAAGCAUCUCCACAAUAGACCGGAUAUUGAAGAAUCAGAUGACAAUGAAGCAAACUUACAGGGUACUAUUUAAGAGGAACUCUGAGAGUGAAAGAGCUGUGGUACCAGUAUGUACAUAGAAGAAUGGCAUUUUAAGGAAAUGAGACCCAUCACAUCCUCGUGUUUGUGGAUGAAGCUGGCUUCAACCUGGCCAAGGGCCAAAGACGUGGCCGUAAUAUUAUUGGCCACAGUGGAUGUCCCAGGGCAGCGAGGGGGCAAUAUAACUGUGUGCUGCCAUAUCUGAGAAUGGUGUGGCCACUCACAUCCCCAGUCUUGGCCCAUACAAUACAUAGAAGCUCCUCAUCUUCUUGGACCGCCUUCAUUUGGAUUUGAUCCCUGA